rnacentral:rRNA from 1 species
GAUGAACGCUGGCGGCGUGCAUAACACAUUCAAGUCGAACGGAGUAAAGGAGAGCUUGCUCGAAUUUACUUAGUGGCGGACGGGUGAGUAACGCGUGAGCAACCUGCCUUUCAAGACGGGAUAACACAGGGAAACUUGUGCUAAUACCGUAUAACAUACAUUGAUCGCAUGUUUGAUGUAUCAAAGGGGCGACCCGAUGAAAGAUGGGCUCGCGUCUGAUUAGGUAGUUGGUGAGGGUAACGGCCCACCAAGCCGACGAUCAGUAGCCGGACUGAGAGGUUGAGCGGCCACAUUGGAACGGAGAAACGGUCCAGACUCCUACGGGAGGCAGCAGUGGGGAAUAUUGGGCAAGGGGGGAAACCCUGACCCAGCGACGCCGCGUGAAGGAAGAAGGUCUUCGGAUUGUAAACUUUAGUCAACAGGGACGAAGAACGUGACGGUACCUGGAGAAAAAGCAACGGCUAACUACGUGCCAGCCGCCGCCGUAAAAC